rnacentral:rRNA from 1 species
CAGUUCGGAUUGUAGGCUGAAACUCGCCUACAUGAAGCUGGAGUUGCUAGUAAUCGCGAAUCAGCAUGUCGCGGUGAAUACGUUCCCGGGCCUUGUACACACCGCCCGUCACACCAUGAGAGUUGGCAAUACCCAACGUACGUGAUCUAACCCGCAAGGGAGGAAGCGUCCUAAGGUAGGGUCAGCGAUUGGGGUGAAGUCGUAACAAGGUAGC